UUGCUUUGAUGGAUGGCGACCGGCGCACGGGUGAGUAACACGUAUCCAACCUGCCGACAACACUGGGAUAGCCUUUCGAAAGAAAGAUUAAUACCGGAUGGCAUAGUUUUUCCGCAUGGGAUAAUUAUUAAAGAAUUUCGGUUGUCGAUGGGGAUGCGUUCCAUUAGGCAGUUGGCGGGGUAACGGCCCACCAAACCAACGAUGGAUAGGGGUUCUGAGAGGAAGGUCCCCCACAUUGGAACUGAGACACGGUCCAAACUCCUACGGGAGGCAGCAGUGAGGAAUAUUGGUCAAUGGACGAGAGUCUGAACCAGCCAAGUAGCGUGAAGGAUGACUGCCCUAUGGGUUGUAAACUUCUUUUAUACGGGAAUAAAGUUAGCCACGUGUGGCUUUUUGUAUGUACCGUAUGAAUAAGGAUCGGCUAACUCCGUGCCAGCAGCCGCGGUAAUACGGAGGAUCCGAGCGUUAUCCGGAUUUAUUGGGUUUAAAGGGAGCGUAGGCGGGUUGUUAAGUCAGUUGUGAAAGUUUGCGGCUCAACCGUAAAAUUGCAGUUGAUACUGGCGACCUUGAGUGCAACAGAGGUAGGCGGAAUUCGUGGUGUAGCGGUGAAAUGCUUAGAUAUCACGAAGAACUCCGAUUGCGAAGGCAGCUUACUGGAUUGUAACUGACGCUGAUGCUCGAAAGUGUGGGUAUCAA
rnacentral:rRNA from 1 species